CCUACGGGUGGCAGCAGUCGAGAAUCAUUCACAAUGGGGGAAACCCUGAUGGUGCGACGCCGCGUGGGGGAAUGAAGGUCUUCGGAUUGUAAACCCCUGUCAUGUGGGAGCAAAGCAAAAAGAUAGUACCACAAGAGGAAGAGACGGCUAACUCUGUGCCAGCAGCCGCGGUAAUACAGAGGUCUCAAGCGUUGUUCGGAAUCACUGGGCGUAAAGCGUGCGUAGGCUGUUUCGUAAGUCGUGUGUGAAAGGCGCGGGCUCAACCCGCGGACGGCACAUGAUACUGCGAGACUAGAGUAGUGGAGGGGGAAGCGGAAUUCGCGGUGUAGCAGUGAAAUGCGUAGAUAUCGCGAAGAACACUGGUGGCGAAGGCGGGUUCCUGGACAUUAACUGACGCUGAGGCACGAAGGCCAGGGGAGCGAAAGGGAUUAGAUACCCGAGUAGUC
rnacentral:rRNA from 1 species